UACGGGGGGGGGCAAGCGUUGUUCGGAAUUACUGGGCGUAAAGGGCUCGUAGGCGGCCAACUAAGUCAGACGUGAAAUCCCUCGGCUUAACCGGGGAACUGCGUCUGAUACUGGAUGGCUUGAGUUUGGGAGAGGGAUGCGGAAUUCCAGGUGUAGCGGUGAAAUGCGUAGAUAUCUGGAGGAACACCGGUGGCGAAGGCGGCAUCCUGGACCAACACGUGACGCUGAGGAGCGAAAGCCAGGGGAGCAAACGGG
rnacentral:rRNA from 1 species